UACGUAGGGGGCAAGCGUUGUCCGGAUUCAUUGGGCGUAAAGAGCGUGUAGGCGGCAAGGUAGGUCGGUUGUGAAAACUGGAGGCUCAACCUUCAGAGGUCGACCGAAACCAUCUGGCUAGAGUCCGGGAGAGGAGAGUGGAAUUCCUGGUGUAGCGGUGAAAUGCGCAGAUAUCAGGAAGAACACCCGUGGCGAAAGCGGCUCUCUGGAACGGUACUGACGCUGAGACGCGAAAGCGUGGGGAGCGAACAGG
rnacentral:rRNA from 1 species